GUCUCUGUAGUUUAACGGAUAAAACGAUGGGCUUCGGACCCAUUGAUGGGGGUUCGAUUCCCUCCGGGGACA
rnacentral:tRNA from 1 species